rnacentral:rRNA from 1 species
UACAGAGGUUGCGAGCGUUGUCCGGAAUCACUGGGCGUAAAGGGCGCGUAGGUGGCGACCCAAGUCGAUGGUGAAAGCUCGCCGCUCAACGGCGAGUCGGCCACCGAUACUGGGUUGCUCGAGCACUGUAGAGGCUCAUGGAAUUCCGGGUGUAGCGGUGGAAUGCGUAGAGAUCCGGAAGAACACCGGUGGCGAAGGCGGUCUGCUGGGGUAAUGCUGACACUGAUGCGCAACAGCGUGGGGAGCAAACAGG